AACGAACGCUGGCGGCAGGCCUAACACAUGCAAGUCGAACGCUCGUAGCAAUACGGGAGUGGCGCACGGGUGAGUAACGCGUGGGCACCUACCCGGUGGUCCGGAAUAACCGCGGGAAACUGCGGCUAAUACCGAAUAAGCCCUUAGGGGGAAAGAUUUAUCGCCAUCGGAUGGGCCCGCGUAGGAUUAGCUAGUUGGUGAGGUAACGGCUCACCAAGGCUACGAUCCUUAGCUGGUCUGAGAGGAUAAUCAGCCACACUGGGACUGAGACACGGCCCAGACUCCUACGGGAGGCAGCAGUGGGGAAUAUUGGACAAUGGGCGCAAGCCUGAUCCAGCCAUGCCGCGUGAGUGAAGAAGGCCUUCGGGUUGUAAAGCUCUUUUGGCGGGGACGAUGAUGAC
rnacentral:rRNA from 1 species